UCUAUCAGUUAAGGCUACAGUUGACAGCAAUUGGGGCACAGAAUGUUGGCGUGGGUUGAAAGAAAACAGCACAAGAAAGUGUUAGAAAUAAGAGGACAGAGAGGAAAUGGGUGUGCUGAACCCCGAACAGCUUAGAAAAGCUCUGCGAACAGAAGCUGGAGAAUCUACAAACAAGGAUGGAUAAUGCCACCAAACCUUAGCUGAGAGCUCUCUCAAAGGAUCCAUCUGCUCACAAUUUUCAGACAAGAUGCUGACCGAGAUGGAGCAUAGGUCUGAAACACCACAACUCCUCUAAAGUGCAAACACACUUACAAAUCUAUGUUCCUCAGUUCUCAGGAGGAUUAAGAUUUGUACAACACAUCCCAUCACUUUUCCCUCACCAUCAGUGAAAGCCAUAGAACAGGACCUGUGCUUCUGUCUUCUUAAAGUUUGUACCAAGUAGAAUUCUGUGGUCUAUAUUAAUAACAUAUUUAAUAAGCA